UGGUUCUCGCAUCGAUGAAGAACGCAGCGAAAUGCGAUAAGUAAUGUGAAUUGCAGAAUUCAGUGAAUCAUCGAAUCUUUGAACGCACAUUGCGCUCUCUGGUAUUCCGGAGAGCACGUCUGUCUGAACGUCAUGAAAACCCUCGAGUUUGUCUCGGUGAUGGGCAUCGCCACUAAGCGGUGCCUGCAAUCCAGUGGCGGAGGCUGUCAUAUGCCCGACAUAGUGAACGCUACCUGUCGGUUUUGUGUAUGAUGGGCAACCUGCCUCAAGAAACCCUUUAGACUUGACUUCAGGUCAGACGAGAUUACCCGCUGA
rnacentral:misc_RNA from 1 species